GCCCCUGUGGCCUAAUGGAUAAGGCAUCGGUCUCCUAAACGGGGGAUUGUGGGUUCGAGUCCCACCAGGGGUA
rnacentral:tRNA from 1 species